GUGUAAAUUGAUAUGUCGUGUUACUCAUUAUUAAACGUAUAUGUAUUUGUGUAAUAUGUAAAUAAUUGAGGGGAUAAAUUAAUGGUUAUUUACGGUGAUCGGUAUAUAGACUCCAUUUUUAAUUAUGAUCGAUCAUUGCCCAAAUGCCUUAAUAUAUUUUGUUGAAUUUUAUCUAGUUUGUGUAAGUGUUAUAUGGACUGCUCUUUAGAGGAUACGAAGACGUUAGGAGUGGGUGUAUUCAAUUGGCGCUUUGCACAAAAUAGUUAAAACAUAGAAAGAUACACUUCGCACAAAGGCUCACCUUCUCGCCUCUCCCGAGUGCCCUGAAACACUGCAACCGGGCUGAUCUGAUGUGAGCCACAAAAUGAAGCCAUUGAUGAAGCCCAUUUUUGGGAAGACAUGAUUUGAUUUGUUCUCAUUGUUAAAUGCCAUCGCA